AGUGAACGCUGGCGGCGUGCUUAACACAUGCAAGUCGAACGAGAACGGAUUAUAGCUUGCUAUAAUUGUCAGCUAAGUGGCGCACGGGUGAGUAAUAUAUAGGUAACGUGCCCUAGAGAGGGGGAUAACAGUUGGAAACGAUUGCUAACACCCCAUAUGCCUUUAAGACUUAAGUCUGCAAGGGAAAUAUUUAUAGCUCUAGGAUCGGCCUGUACAGUAUCAGUUAGUUGGUGAGGUAAUGGCUCACCAAGACAAUGACGCUUAACUGGUUUGAGAGGAUGAUCAGCCACACGGGCACUGAGACACGGGCCCGACUCCUACGGGAGGCAGCAGUAGGGAAUAUUGGACAAUGGGCGCAAGCCUGAUCCAGCCAUCCCGCGUGAAGGAUUAAGGCCCUCUGGGUUGUAAACUUCUUUUCUUUGGGAAUAAAAACUCCGUUUCUACGGAGCUUGAAGGUACCAGAGGAAUAAGCACCGGCUAACUCCGUGCCAGCAGCCGUAC
rnacentral:rRNA from 1 species